AGUGAACGCUGGCGGUAGGCCUAACACAUGCAAGUCGAACGGCAGCACAGUAAGAGCUUGCUCUUACGGGUGGCGAGUGGCGGACCGGUGAGGAAUACAUCGGAAUCUACUUUUUCGUGGGGGAUAACGUAGGGAAAAUUACGCUAAUACCGCCUACGACCUACGGGUGAAAGCAGGGGAUAUUCGGACCUUGCGUGAUUGAAUGAGCCGAUGUCGGAUUAGCUAGUUGGCGGGGUAAAGGCCCACCAAGGCGACGAUCCGUAGCUGGUCUGAGAGGAUGAUCAGCCACACUGGAACUGAGACACGGUCCAGACUCCUACGGGAGGCAGCAGUGGGGAAUAUUGGACAAUGGGCGCAAGCCUGAUCCAGCCAUACCGCGUGGGUGAAGAAGGCCUUCGGGUUGUAAAGCCCUUUUGUUGGGAAAGAAAAGCAGCAGGUUAAUACCCCGCUGUUCUGACGGUACCCAAAGAAUAAGCACCGGCUAACUUCGUG
rnacentral:rRNA from 1 species